rnacentral:piRNA from 1 species
UCCACGAGCUGGAUCUGCAGAAAUAACUGCCA